ACCUUUACUAUAGUUUGGUAUUGGUGAUUGGGACGGUUUGUGUAGGAUAGGUGGGAGACGUUGAUGCGGCCACGCUAGUGGUGGUGGAGUCGUUGUUGAAAUACCACUCUGAUCGGAUUGAGCACCUCAACCUUGGCCCAUGAUCUGGGUUGGGGACAGUGCCUGGUGGGUAGUUUAACUGGGGCGGUUGCCUCCUAAAAUGUAACGGAGGCGCCCAAAGGUUCCCUCAGCCUGGUUGGCAAUCAGGUGUUGAGUGUAAGUGCACAAGGGAGCUUGACUGUGAGACAGACAUGUCGAGCAGGGACGAAAGUCGGGACUAGUGAUCCGGCAGUGGCUUGUGGAAGCGCUGUCGCUCAACGGAUAAAAGGUACCUCGGGGAUAACAGGCUGAUCUUGCCCAAGAGUCCAUAUCGACGGCAUGGUUUGGCACCUCGAUGUCGGCUCGUCGCAUCCCGG
rnacentral:rRNA from 14 species